rnacentral:rRNA from 1 species
UGAUCUAUAGGUUGUUAUUAUUGGUUUUGUUGGACUUUCUUGCCUUUUGCAUCAUGCUCGUUGGAUUUUUUUAAUUAAUUGUUUUAUAUUGAAAAGUUUUGAUCUCAUAUAUGUUUGUUUUGAACUUAGGUUUUUUUGUGUUAAAUUACUUAAAUUUUAUAUGUGGUGUGAUAAAUUAGUCGUAUAACUUUAUAUCCCUUUAACUGUAUUUGAUUUCUUUACACGCGUUAGGUUAUAAUAUCUUACGUGUUUUUACACUAUAUUUGUUAUGUAUUUUUGUUAUUAGGUUAGAGUUACCUUUUUUUUGUAAGUUUGUUGUAAGUUUUUUCAUUAUAUUUGUUGCAGUUUAUUUUGUUUACAGUUUUUAUCAAAUUUAGAUUUUAUUUAUCAUUGAAUAAGUAAUUCAAAUGUUUUAAUUAUUUCUCGGAGUUUGUCUGUCUGUUUAUUAAAAACAUUUCCAAUUUUAAGUUUAAUUGGUAGUGCCUGCUCUAUGUUUUGUGUAAAUGGCCGCAGUAUAUUGACUGUGCGAAGGUAGCAUAAUUAAUUGCCUUAUAAUUGAGGGCUUGUUUGAAUGGUUUGACAAGAUAAUUUGAAUAUUUAUUACUUUGUUGAAAUUAUUUUUGAUGGCACAGAAACCUCAUUUUUUAAUUAGACGGAAAGACCCCGGGAACUUGUUUAUUUUGCCUGGGGCAGGUUUUAAUUUUUUAUUAAAUUUAUGACCCUUUUUAGUUUAUUGAUUUAAGUUACCCCGGGGAUAACAGUGUAAUGAUUAAUGAGAGGUCUUAUCGAAUUAGUCGUUUGCCACCUCGAUGUUGACUUAGGUAUAUGAUUUGGGCGUAGUAGUUUAAAUUUUUGGUCUGUUCGACCAUGUAUAUCUCCAUGAGUUGAGUUAAGACCGGCGUGAGCCAGGUCGGUUCUUAUCUAUUGGUGUGAUCUAUUAGUACGAAAGGAUUGUAGAUCUUUUUUUU